rnacentral:rRNA from 1 species
UAGGGAAUCUUCGGCAAUGGGGGGAACCCUGAACGAGAAACGCCGCGUGAGUGAAGAAGGUUUUCGGAUCGUAAAGAUCUGUUGUUAAGGAAGAACGAGUGUGAGAAUGGAAAGUUCAUGCUGUGACGGUACUUAACCAGAAAGGGACGGCUAACUACGUGCCAGCAGCCGCGGCAAUACGUAGGUCCCGAGAGUUGUCCGGAUUUAUUGGGCGUAAAGCGAGCGCAGGCGGUUAGAAAAGUCUGAAGUGAAAGGCAGUGGCUCAACCAUUGUAGGCUUUGGAAACUGUUUAACUUGAGUGCAGAAGAGGAGAGUGGAAUUCCAUGUGUAGCGGUGAAAUGCGUAGAUAUAUGGAGGAACUCCGGUGGCGUCAGCGGCUCUCUGAUCUGUAACUGACGCUGAGGCUCGAAAGCGUGGGGGGCGAACAGG